rnacentral:rRNA from 1 species
UACAGAGGUCUCAAGCGUUGUUCGGAUUCAUUGGGCGUAAAGGGCGCGUAGGCGGCGGGGUAAGUCGGGUGUGAAAUCUCAGGGCUCAACCCUGAAACUGCACUCGAUACUGCUUUGCUUGAGGACUGGAGAGGAGACUGGAAUUCACGGUGUAGCAGUGAAAUGCGUAGAUAUCGUAAGGAAGACCAGUGGCGAAGGCGG